rnacentral:rRNA from 1 species
CAGCCGCCGCGGUAAUACGAAGGGGGCUAGCGUUGCUCGGAAUCACUGGGCGUAAAGGGUGCGUAGGCGGGUCUUUAAGUCAGGGGUGAAAUCCUGGAGCUCAACUCCAGAACUGCCUUUGAUACUGAAGAUCUUGAGUUCGGGAGAGGUGAGUGGAACUGCGAGUGUAGAGGUGAAAUUCGUAGAUAUUCGCAAGAACACCAGUGGCGAAGGCGGCUCACUGGCCCGAUACUGACGCUGAGGCACGAAAGCGUGGGGAGCAAACAGGAUUAGAUACCCGUGUAGUCCCUGUCUCUUAUAA